rnacentral:rRNA from 1 species
CCUACGGGAGGCAGCAGUGGGGAAUAUUGGACAAUGGGGGCAACCCUGAUCCAGCCAUGCCGCGUGAGUGAAGAAGGCCUUCGGGCUGUAAAGCUCUUGCAGAUGCGAAGAUGAUGACGGUAACAUCAGAAGAAGCCCCGGUUAAUUUCGUGCCAGCAGCCGCGGUAAU